CCCUUAGAUGUUCUGGGCGGCCCGCGCACUACAUUGGCACUGGCAACAAGAUCCUAGAUCUGAUAUUUCGGGGUAUUCUACCAACUGGUGUCGUGACUGGGAUUAACCCCUGCAAUUAUUGGUUAUGAACGAGGAAUUCCUUAUAAUCACGGUUUAUCAACCCGUGUUGAAUGCGUCCCUGCCCUUUGUACACACCGCCCGUCGCUCCUACCGAUGAAUCGUCCGGUGAAGUUCAUGGAGUCGCGGCUGCUCCAGCUGUUUUCGAAGUGAAAUGGACCUCAUGAUUUAGAGGAAGGAGAAGUCGUANCA
rnacentral:rRNA from 1 species